rnacentral:lncRNA from 1 species
GACUCCAGCUUCUCUGGUGUAGGUGGAUUUUUGCACCAACAGGAUUGGCGCUAGAGGAAGGGGUGUAUCUUCGCAGUACUCUUGUUCUUAAAGGAGUGCUCAACGGGAUCGCCUCCGAUCAUCUUUUCUGACAUCCACUCCUCCUUCCCCCACUUGAUCUUCACCCGAUGCCUCCCCACAAAGCAUCCACACGGCGAUCCACGGCC